CUGUAUAAAAGGUCUCACCCUCCAAGGAUCCAGACAUAGACUUCUGAUCUUCGCUACUGCAGCUUUUCCAGUUGGCAUUUGGGGACUCCAGAUUUGACCGAUAUCAAGAUGUGCUCCCGCAACGAUAGAGGAUGCCACAACAAACCACAGGACUCCUGCCACAACAAACCACAGGAUUCCUGCCACAACAAACCACAGGACUCCUGCCACAACAAACCACAGGACUCCUGCCACAGAGGUGGAAGUUCCUGCCAUGAGGACAGAGGCUGCCAGCAGCAACCUCCUGUGGUCAUCCCAGCUCCAUGCAUCCCUCCUGUGGUCAUCCCACCCCCUUGCCAGCAGCAGACGAAGCAAACCCCCCAGUGGCCACAGCAGCAGAAGUAGAGAACAUGAGACUCCCCAGGAAGAUGUGUUUGUUGGAUGAAGGAUCGUCAUUAGCUAAAAGAAGCAGAUGAAGGAUGGGAGAUAGCUUAUUGGAUGCCUUUCUCUCUACAUAAAAUUGUAUCAAAUAUUUUCUCUGCCUAGCAUUGAAAUUCCAGUGUCUUUUCUCCACCCAGAAACAUAAUUUGGGGAGGAAAGUUAACUGUUUUCUGUUUUGGCCUCUGUUUGGGCAACAGUACUAAUUAAAAUCAUAU